rnacentral:snRNA from 1 species
AUACUUACCUGACGCGAGAGGCACCUUGAUCAACUAGGAGGUCCUCUCAGGAUGAGGCCCUUUCAUUGCACUUCGGCUGGGUUGACUCCUGCGAUUACCCCUAAUGUGGGUAACUCGAGCGUAUAAUUUCUGGUAGUGGGGACCUGCGUUCGCGCUCGAUCUCCU